GUGAGGAAUAUUGCGCAAUGGAGGCAACUCUGACGCAGCCAUGCCGCGUGCAGGAAGAAGGCGCUACGCGUUGUAAACUGCUUUUAACCGGGAAGAAACCCCAGGACGUGUCCUGGGUUGACGGUACCGGAGGAAUAAGCACCGGCUAACUUCGUGCCAGCAGCCGCGGUAAUACGAAGGGUGCAAGCGUUAUCCGGAGUCAUUGGGUGUAAAGGGUGCGUAGGCGGAGCGUUAAGGCAGUGGUGAUAUCCUGCAGCUUAACUGUAGCCUUGCCAUGGAUACUGGCGCUCUUGAGUGCGCUUGAAGUGGGCGGAAUGUGCCAUGUAGCGGUGAAAUGCUUAGCUAUGGCGCAGAACACCAAUUGCGAAGGCAGCUCACUAAGGCGAUACUGACGCUGAGGCACGAAAGCGUGGGGAUCGAACAGGAUUAGAUACCCGUGUAGUCC
rnacentral:rRNA from 1 species